rnacentral:lncRNA from 1 species
CUAAAAAGCUAAUAGCUCCGCCCCUGCAAUUAGCGGGGCGUGUUUGGUUCGCUUCUUUUCACCCUAGAAUCGGAAUUGGAAUGGGUAAAUCCGUUUGUGGAUAUUUGGUACGCAGGAGUCUCAUUUCGAUUCUGAUUUCCGAGUGGAAUGGGAAUCCCCUAAUCACCUCUUUUUUCAAUCCGGCCUAGAAAGCCGGAUUGAAAGUUGAAUUCGAACGGAAUGGAUAUUUAUUCGGAUUAAAUUUAUUGUUUUAACUUUUUUAAUUAAAAUAUGAGUUAAAAUUUAAAAAUUAGGUAAUGAGUUAUUUCGAUUCCGAUUCCGAUUUAGGUGAUGAACCAAACAGAAUUAAAUAAUGAGUCAUUCCGAUUCCGAUUCCAACUUAUUUUGAUUCCGAUUCCGAUUCCGAUUUUGAUUUCGAACCAAACACGCCUCCCUAAACUCUCGGCCUUUUUGCAUAAAAAUUUCACUGGUUUUGCAAUUUUGUACCUAUGAAUCAAUUUUUAGAAUUUUACAUAUUUAGUCUGAAUUUUUAAAAAACUGAUCAAAUUAACCUUAUUUCUCUCAGUUACCAACCCUGUCACC